CAAAUGCAACUGCCAGUCCCAUGUUUGAAUCUGAUCUCUGUACUACCCUGUGGUGUAGCGUAGGAGUCAUGAGGAGAUCACGCAUGACAGCAGCUGCACAGGGCUCUCGGUGUGGGAAAGACAAGUGGUGUAUAUCUGGAU